CCCUGGACUUUAACACGCGCACGCAGGUGACCAGGGAAGCCAUCAACCGGCUCCAUGAGGCCGUGCCUGGCGUCCGGGGAUCCUGGAAGAAAAAGGCCCCCAACAAGGCCCUGGCAUCCGUCCUGGGCAAGAGCAACCUUCGCUUUGCCGGCAUGAGCAUCUCCAUCCAC